GAUGAACGCUGGCGGCGUGCCUAAUACAUGCAAGUCGAGCGAACGGACGAGAAGCUUGCUUCUCUGAUGUUAGCGGCGGACGGGUGAGUAACACGUGGAUAACCUACCUAUAAGACUGGGAUAACUUCGGGAAACCGGAGCUAAUACCGGAUAAUAUUUUGAACCGCAUGAUUCAAAAGUGAAAGACGGUCUUGCUGUCACUUAUAGAUGGAUCCGCGCUGCAUUAGCUAGUUGGUAAGGUAACGGCUUACCAAGGCAACGAUGCAUAGCCGACCUGAGAGGGUGAUCGGCCACACUGGAACUUGGACACGGUCCAGACUCCUACGGGAGGCAGCAGUAGGGAAUCUUCCGCAAUUGGCGAAAGCCUGACGGAGCAACGCCGCGUGAGUGAUGAAGGUCUUCGGAUCGUAAAACUCUGUUAAUAGGGAAGAACAUAUGUGUAAGUAACUGUGCACAUCUUGACGGUACCUAAUCAGAAAGCCACGGCUAACUACGUG
rnacentral:rRNA from 1 species